rnacentral:rRNA from 1 species
UACGUAGGUGACUAGCGUUGUCCGGAUUUACUGGGCGUAAAGAGCGCGCAGGCGGUCGUUCAAGUCGAGUGUGAAAGCCCCCGGCUCAACUGGGGAGGGUCAUUCGAUACUGAUCGACUCGAAGGCAGGAGAGGGAAGUGGAAUUCCCGGUGUAGUGGUGAGAUGCGUAGAUAUCGGGAGGAACACCAGUGGCGAAGGCGACUUCCUGGCCUGUUCUUGACGCUGAGGCGCGAAAGCUAGGGUAGCAAACGGG